rnacentral:rRNA from 1 species
GGCGGACGGAUGAGGAAUACAUCGGAAUCUACCUUUUCGUGGGGGAUAACGUAGGGAAACUUACGCUAAUACCGCAUACGACCUUCGGGUGAAAGCAGGGGACCUUCGGGCCUUGCGCGGAUAGAUGAGCCGAUGUCGGAUUAGCUAGUUGGCGGGGUAAAGGCCCACCAAGGCGACGAUCCGUAGCUGGUCUGAGAGGAUGAUCAGCCACACUGGAACUGAGACACGGUCCAGACUCCUACGGGAGGCAGCAGUGGGGAAUAUUGGACAAUGGGCGCAAGCCUGAUCCAGCCAUACCGCGUGGGUGAAGAAGGCCUUCGGGUUGUAAAGCCCUUUUGUUGGGAAAGAAAAGCAGUCGAUUAAUACUCGGUUGUUCUGACGGUACCCAAAGAAUAAGCACCGGCUAACUUCGUGCCAGCAGCCGCGGUAAUACGAAGGGUGCAAGCGUUACUCGGAAUUACUGGGCGUAAAGCGUGCGUAGGUGGUUGUUUAAGUCUGUUGUGAAAGCCCUGGGCUCAACCUGGGAAUUGCAGUGGAUACUGGGCGACUAGAGUGUGGUAGAGGGUAGUGGAAUUCCCGGUGUAGCAGUGAAAUGCGUAGAGAUCGGGAGGAACAUCCAUGGCGAAGGCAGCUACCUGGACCAACACUGACACUGAGGCACGAAAGCGU